GACGGGUGAGUAAUGUCGUGGGAAACUGCCUGAUGGAGGGGGAUAACUACUGGAAACGGUAGCUAAUACCGCAUAACGUCGCAAGACCAAAGAGGGGGACCUUCGGGCCUCUUGCCAUCAGAUGUGCCCAGAUGGGAUUAGCUAGUAGGUGGGGUAAUGGCUCACCUAGGCGACGAUCCCUAGCUGGUCUGAGAGGAUGACCAGCCACACUGGAACUGAGACACGGUCCAGACUCCUACGGGAGGCAGCAGUGGGGAAUAUUGCACAAUGGGCGCAAGCCUGAUGCAGCCAUGCCGCGUGUGUGAAGAAGGCCUUCGGGUUGUAAAGCACUUUCAGCGAGGAGGAAGGUGGUGAACUUAAUACGUUCAUCAAUUGACGUUACUCGCAGAAGAAGCACCGGCUAACUCCGUGCCAGCAGCCGCGGUAAUACGGAGGGUGCAAGCGUUAAUCGGAAUUACUGGGCGUAAAGCGCACGCAGGCGGUUUGUUAAGUCAGAUGUGAAAUCCCCGGGCUCAACCUGGGAACUGCAUUUGAAACUGGCAAGCUAGAGUCUCGUAGAGGGGGGUAGAAUUCCAGGUGUAGCGGUGAAAUGCGUAAAGAUCUGGAGGAAUACCGGUGGCGAAGGCGGCCCCCUGGACGAAGACUGACGCUCAGGUGCGAAAGCGU
rnacentral:rRNA from 1 species